GAUGAACGCUAGCGGCAGGCUUAACACAUGCAAGUCGAGGGGUAUAGUAGCAAUACUAGAGACCGGCGCACGGGUGCGUAACGCGUAUGCAAUCUACCUUUUACAGAGGGAUAGCCCAGAGAAAUUUGGAUUAAUACCUCAUAGCAUUGCGAAAUGGCAUCAUUUUGCAAUUAAAGUCACAACGGUAAAAGAUGAGCAUGCGUCCCAUUAGCUAGUUGGUAAGGUAACGGCUUACCAAGGCAACGAUGGGUAGGGGUCCUGAGAGGGAGAUCCCCCACACUGGUACUGAGACACGGACCAGACUCCUACGGGAGGCAGCAGUGAGGAAUAUUGGACAAUGGGCGCAAGCCUGAUCCAGCCAUGCCGCGUGCAGGAUGACGGUCCUAUGGAUUGAAACUGCUUUUGACGAGAAGAAACUCCCCGAUGCGGAGCUUGACGGUAUCGUAAGAAUAAGGAUCGGCUAACUCCGUGCCAGC
rnacentral:rRNA from 1 species